rnacentral:ncRNA from 1 species
GAAAACUGGCUUGUGGCAGACAAUUGUUCAUAUAGACAUCACUUUUUGAUCCUUCAAUGUCAGCUCUUCCUGACAUUGUGAAGCAGAAUUCACCAAGUGUUGGAUUGUUCACCCACCAAGAGGAAUGUGAGCUGGGCUUAGACCGUUGUGAGACAGGUU